rnacentral:rRNA from 1 species
UAAUACGGAGGGUGCAAGCGUUAAUCGGAAUUACUGGGCGUAAAGCGCACGCAGGCGGUUUGUUAAGUCAGAUGUGAAAUCCCCGGGCUCAACCUGGGAACUGCAUCUGAUACUGGCAAGCUUGAGUCUCGUAGAGGGGGGUAGAAUUCCAGGUGUAGCGGUGAAAUGCGUAGAGAUCUGGAGGAAUACCGGUGGCGAAGGCGGCCCCCUGGACGAAGACUGACGCUCAGGUGCGAAAGCGUGGGGAGCAAACAGGAUUAGAUACCCUGGUAGUCCACGCCGUAAACGAUGUCGACUUGGAGGUUGUGCCCUUGAGGCGUGGCUUCCGGAGCUAACGCGUUAAGUCGACCGCCUGGGGAGUACGGCCGCAAGGUUAAAACUCAAAUGAAUUGACGGGGGCCCGCACAAGCGGUGGAGCAUGUGGUUUAAUUCGAUGCAACGCGAAGAACCUUACCUGGUCUUGACAUCCACGGAAGUUUUCAGAGAUGAGAAUGUGCCUUCGGGAACCGUGAGACAGGUGCUGCAUGGCUGUCGUCAGCUCGUGUUGUGAAAUGUUGGGUUAAGUCCCGCAACGAGCGCAACCCUUAUCCUUUGUUGCCAGCGGUCCGGCCGGGAACUCAAAGGAGACUGCCAGUGAUAAACUGGAGGAAGGUGGGGAUGACGUCAAGUCAUCAUGGCCCUUACGACCAGGGCUACACACGUGCUACAAUGGCGCAUACAAAGAGAAGCGACCUCGCGAGAGCAAGCGAACCUCAUAAAGUGCGUCGUAGUCCGGAUUGGAGUCUGCAACUCGACUCCAUGAAGUCGGAAUCGCUAGUAAUCGUGGAUCAGAAUGCCACGGUGAAUACGUUCCCGGGCCUUGUACACACCGCCCGUCACACCAUGGGAGUGGGUUGCAAAAGAAGUAGGUAGCUUAACCUUCGGGAGGGCGCUUACCACUUUGUGAUUCAUGACUGGGGUGAAGUCGUAACAAGGUAACCGUAGGGGAACCUGCGGUUG